UACGUAGGUGGCAAGCGUUGUCCGGAAUUAUUGGGCGUAAAGAGCUCGUAGGCGGUUUGUCGCGUCGGCCGUGAAAACUUGGGGCUUAACUCCAAGCUUGCGGUCGAUACGGGCAGACUUGAGUUCGGCAGGGGAGACUGGAAUUCCUGGUGUAGCGGUGAAAUGCGCAGAUAUCAGGAGGAACACCGGUGGCGAAGGCGGGUCUCUGGGCCGACACUGACGCUGAGGAGCGAAAGCGUGGGGAGCGAACAGG
rnacentral:rRNA from 1 species